ensembl:lncRNA
GGGAACAUAUUGAACAUAUUGUGGGGGAACAUAUUGAACACAUUGUGUGGGAAAAUAUUGAACAUAUUGUGGGGGAACAUAUUGAACAUAUUGUGGGGGAACAUAUUGAAAAUAUUGUGGGGGAAUAUAUUGAACAUAUUGUGGGGGAACAUAUUGAACAUAUUGAACAUAUUGAACAUGGGGAAACAUAUUGAACACAUUUUGUGGGAAAAUAUUGAACAUAUUGUGGGGGAACAUAUUGAAUAUAUUGAACAUAUUGUGGGGGAACAUAUUGAACAUAUUGUGGGGGAACAUAUUGAACACAUUGUGUGGGAAAAUAUUGAACAUAUUGUGGGGGAACAUAUUGAACAUAUUGAACAUAUUGAACAUAUUGAAUAUAUUAUGGAGGAACAUAUUGAACAUAUUCUGUGGGAACAUAUUGAACAUUUUGUGUGGGAACAUAUUGAACAUAUUGUGGGGGAACAUAUUGAAAAUAUUGUGGGGGAACAUAUUGAGCAUUUUGUGUGGGAACAUAUUGUGGGGGAACAUAUUGAACAUAUUGAACAUAUUGUGUUGGAACAUAUUGAACAUAUUGAACAUAUUGAACAUAUUGAACAUAUUGAACAUAUUGUGUGGGAACAUAUUGAACAUAUUGAACAUAUUGAACAUAUUGAACAUAUUGAACAUUUUGUGUGGGAACAUAUUGAACAUAUUGUGGGGAAAAUAUUGAACAUAUUGAACAUAUUGAACAUAUUGUGUUGGAACAUAUUGUGGGGGAACAUAUUGAACAUAUUGAACACAUUGAACAUAUUGUGUUGGAACAUAUUGUGGGGGAACAUAUUGAACAUAUUGUGUUGGAACAUAUUGAACAUACUGUGGGGGAACAUAUUGAACAUAUUGUGUUGGAACAUAUUGUGGGGGAACAUAUUGAAAAUAUUGUGGGGGAAUAUAUUGAACAUAUUGAAUAUAUUGUGGGGGAACAUAUUGAACACAUUUUGUGGGAAAAUAUUGAACAUAUUGUGGGGAACAUAUUGAACAUAUUGAACAUAUUGAACAUAUUGUGGGGGAACAUAUUGAACAUAUUGAACAUAUUGAACAUAUUGAACAUAUUGUGGGGGAACAUAUUGUGUUGGAACAUUGUCGUGGAAAUUUCCUCUAUUUACCAAAUCAUGAGAGCAAACCACACACAAGUCGGAGUUAGUUAUCAAAGUCCAUCUUUAAUUAUAUGAGCUCUAUCACAACCCUGUGACUCUCAGAUCAAUUCAGUGUCUAUCAAUGAAUUCUCUGAGAGUCCCUCACACAUUGCAACUGAGAUCCUUUAAUAGCAAAGACACACACAUAGCCAGACAGCAUAGGCAUAAUUUAUCGUUCAGCUUUGUCUCCCAAACUAUGCUCUUCUCUCAAACUCAGAACCAUAAACCAAUCCUCCAUGUCAACAGGCAUAUAUCAAAUCCAUCCUAUCUUGAAAAGAUCACAGAGACACACUGACUGGCACACAGACAUUGUGGAGUCAAGAGAUACACGCUUGACCUCUCCCCUCUCUCCGGCCCAAGCAACUUGGUCUUGACAUAGAACAGAUACUGCAACCCCGCCACAGUAUUAUACAAAAAUAACAUUCUGAUGAGAAGUAACUUACAAACAUAUGAUAUAAAACAUCUUACCUAUGUUACCAACUAAUUCUGAUUAUUCCCCAACAACAUAUUGAACAUAUUGUGGGGGAAUAUAUUGAACAUAUUGAACAUAUUGAACAUAUUGAACAUAUUGUGGGGGAACAUAUUGAAUAUAUUGAACAUAUUGUGGGGGAACAUAUUGAACAUAUUGUGGGGGAAAAUAUUGAACAUAUUGUGGGGGAAUAUAUUGAACAUAUUGUGGGGGAAAAUAUUGAACAUAUUGUGGGGGAAUAUAUUGAACAUAUUGUGGGGGAAGAUAUGAUAAUUGGAACAUAUUGUGGGUGAACAUAUUGAAACUAUUGUGGGAACAUA